AAGGGGUCCACCUGGGCAAGUUCGACGGGGGCGGCCGGGGAGGAAUCCCCUUCGGGGAGGAAGACCCCGCGGCCUAAGUGGCGGACGGGUGAGUAACGCGUGGGCAACCUGCCCCAUACCGGGGGAUAACAGCCGGAAACGGCUGCUAACACCGCAUAAGCGCUGGGGGCCGCAUGGCACCCGGCGGAAAACUCCGGUGGUAUGGGAUGGGCCCGCGUCUGAUUAGGCAGUUGGCGGGGCAGCGGCCCACCAAACCGACGAUCAGUAGCCGGCCUGAGAGGGCGGCCGGCCACAUUGGGACUGAGACACGGCCCAGACUCCUGCGGGAGGCAGCAGUGGGGAAUAUUGCACAAUGGGGGGAACCCUGAUGCAGCGACGCCGCGUGGGCGAGGAAGUAUUUCGGUACGUAAAGCCCUAUCGGCAGGGAAGAAGAAAUGACGGUACCUGAAUAAGAAGCACCGGCUAAAUACGUGCCAGCAGCCGCGGUAAUACGUAUGGUGCAAGCGUUAUCCGGAUUUACUGGGCGUAAAGGGAGCGCAGGCGGCGCGCCAAGUCUGAUGUGAAACCCCGGGGCUCAACCCCGGGCAUGCAUUGGAAACU
rnacentral:rRNA from 1 species